AACGAACGCUGGCGGCGUGCCUAAUACAUACAAGUCGAGCGGACAGAAGGGAGCUUGCUCCCGGAAGUUAGCGGCGGACGGGUGAGUAACACGUGGGCAACCUACCCUGUAGAUCGGGAUAACAUCGAGAAAUCGGUGCUAAUACCGGAUAAUCAUUUGAAGUGCAUGCUUCGAAUGUAAAAGAUGGCUCCGGCUAUCACUACGGGAUGGGCCCGCGGCGCAUUAGCUAGUUGGUAAGGUAAUGGCUUACCAAGGCAACGAUGCGUAGCCGACCUGAGAGGGUGAUCGGCCACACUGGACUGAGACACGGCCCAGACUCCUACGGGAGGCAGCAGUAGGGAAUCUUCCGCAAUGGACGAAAGUCUGACGGAGCAACGCCGCGUGAGUGAUGAAGGUUUUCGGAUCGUAAAGCUCUGUUGUUAGGGAAGAACAAGUGCCGUUUGAAUAAGGCGGCACCUUGACGGUACCUAACCAGAAAGCCACGGCUAACUACGUGCCAGCCGCCGCGGUAAGAC
rnacentral:rRNA from 1 species